rnacentral:lncRNA from 1 species
UUGCUUUUAAACCCUUUUAGGAAUUUCAAAAUCAGCUCAAUGGAUAAUGACAAAAGUGUUAACUUCUGUGACACCAUUCUCUAAAGAUGAAACCAUAAUGUCAUCAGGGGUGGUGUUAAAUGCCAGACUGAAGAGAAAGUGGAAGAGACAGAUACGGUGGAAUGCAAGGAUACUGGACCCCUGAGAGCAGCCUGUUGUCAUUGCUUGGCAUUUACAGCAUCUGUAAUUCAUUAGCUAUUCUUUUCUUUUUUAAUGAGGAAACAGAAAGGAGAUCAAGGAAUGAGCUCAAAGCAACCAAAAAAAUCUUUUCAGUAGUAAGAUAAACAAAUGUUACCAUGAGUCUGAAAGCUAGAAUUCUACAAGGGGAAGAAAUAU